ACAGAGCCUAUGGGCUCACUCAGAGCCGGAUUCUUAAGCCUGAUCUGGAGUAACAGUGAGGAACUGCAAUGUCAGGCAUUCUCAGAGUGCUUGUCAGAGGCCAGGCAUUUAGUUCUCUAGUCUCUGCUAUACUCCAGGAAGAGAGAAGCCCCUAUGACCCUCUCUGUUCAGAAACAAUCCUCAGAGAAGAACUUACCCGGGGUCACAGGCUCGUGAUUUAUGUCUGUGAGCCAUGAGUGCUCCUGGUGCUGGGGGACACAGAAGAGAACAUGAGGACAUUAGAUCUUCGGAAACUGGAGUUCGAGAUGACUGUGAGCCACCAUGGAUCCUGGGAAUCAAGCCUGAAUCCUCUGAAGGAGCAGCAAAUGCCCUUAACCACGCAGCCGCAGAGCCACCUCUCCAGCUCCAGCCCACAUAAAUAUGUUAAUUACUCCUAUUGUUUCCUUUCUUAAUAGUGAAUUUCAAAUAUACAUAAAAUUUUAUGAUGA